UACGUAGGGGGCAAGCGUUGUCCGGAAUCAUUGGGCGUAAAGAGCGUGUAGGCGGUUCGGUAAGUCGGCUGUGAAAGUCCAGGGCUCAACCCUGGGAUGCCGGUCGAUACUGCCGGACUAGAGUUCGGAAGAGGCGAGUGGAAUUCCCGGUGUAGCGGUGAAAUGCGCAGAUAUCGGGAGGAACACCUAUGGCGAAGGCAGCUCGCUGGGACGUUACUGACGCUGAGGAGCGAAAGGCGUGGGGAGCGAACAGG
rnacentral:rRNA from 1 species